rnacentral:rRNA from 1 species
UAUUGUGGCCUCAGGAGUGCAUUGAAGCAAAGCAGGUGUUGAGCCUGGUUAGUACCUGGAUGGGAGACCUCCUGGGAAAACUAGGUUGCUGCUGGAA